GACAGAGGAUGCAAGCGUUAUCCGGAAUGAUUGGGCGUAAAGCGUCUGUAGGUGGCUUUUUAAGUCUGCCGUCAAAUCCCAGGGCUUAACCCUGGACAGGCGGUGGAAACUACCAAGCCGGAGUACGGUAGGGGCAGAGGGAAUUUCCAGUGGAGCGGUGAAAUGCGUAGAGAUUGGAAAGAACACCAAUGGCGAAAGCAACUUUACUGGGCUAGUCACUGACACUGAGAGACGAAAAGCUAGGGGAGCGAAUGGG
rnacentral:rRNA from 1 species